UUUCACACACAAAAAAGAAUUUCUUGAGCACAGUAUUUGCACACCGUAUCACAUAUUCUGUGGAAGUUAACGAUUGUGAGAAAAUGAUCUCUGUGUAUUUAUGUAUUCAUAAGUAUAUACAAAUAUAUAUGUGUAUGUACCUGAGCACAUGUGUAUGUCCGUGUUGAGGUCAGUGUCAGGUAUCUUUCUCAAUUGCUGUCCACCUUAUUUAUGUAUGUAUGUACAUGUGCACAUAGCAUACAGGUGUGUGUACACAUAGAUAUUGGAUGUCUUCCUCAAUCAGUAUCCACACUAGUUUUUGAGACAGUACUUCUACUAUACUUAGAGCUCAACAAUUUGACUAGACUAGAUGGCCAGCAAGACCCAAGUCUCCUCAUGUCUAUCUGCCCCAGUGUGAAAAUUACAGGUGUGUGCUACCAUGCCUACAUUUUGUGCAGGAGUCCUAGAGCUCAGGCACUCAUGCUUAUGCUACAGCCCUUAAGCCAUCUCCCCAGUACCCUAAUGUGGUCUUACACUUUAAUAGUUAGCUCAUAAUUUACUAGGGAAAACUACACCCUGAUUCUAUAGAUAUGCUGUAGAUAGAAUGGCGUGUCUUUUAAAGAAGCCUGAGAGAAGACUCGGCUAAAGCUAUAAAGCAUUUAGAGAGCUUCUAGGGUUUAGAAUCACAGGGUGGAGGAAACAUUUCCAGUGGGAGUCAAAAGUAGAGAUAGUGGCAGGAUUGGCAUCCAGAGAUGAGUAAGUUAGAAGGGGUUGGGACGUGUCAGACAGGAAGUUGAAGUGUGGGGAACUGAAGUGGAAUAGGAGGGCAGAGAGCAGGGGCUGGUCAACACUGUAAGCCAAACAGAAUGCAAAUUGCACACUUGAGGUCAAACUGAGAGACUCUACUUCCAAUGAUGAACAAAUCACUUUGUAACAUCAUCCCAUUACAGGGAUAAUGCUCAUGACCUUUGACAUUUCCUAAUUUCCAUUGACUGUAAAUUAGAUUUUUGUUGUCCUAGAGAUGAGGAAAAUAAUGCUAGAAAAUCUUCCUGGAAACAUUUCCUCCCUUAUGUCUCACACAUGGAAUUUUAAGUUUUUACUGGCUCCAUUAUUGUGAGCUCCCAACAACCCCAAUCAGAAGUUUGGGCCCCAUCUCAGGAAUCAGUCUCUCUUGCUGAGGCAUUAAGUGAUCAGACUCAAUCAGAGAAGUUGAAAUAUCAAGGGACAUUAUUAUAGAGAACAUGAGGGCCAAGCUGAACUUUCUAGACUGAGGAGACACCAUCUACAAAGGAACUCAGAUGUAACAUUAAAAGUUCAUAUUCUCAAUCAUACUAGCUUCAUUGCAGAUGUUCAAUAGGUAUGUGUACCUGGUAGGUGCCAUAUUGGGAAACAUAUAGCCCCAGAAAGUCCUUUGUUUUCAAACUGGUCUAGUCCACCCUAUAUAUUAGGUUGGUCUUGGACCACAUACUGAGACCUGUGAAUAAAGAUUUUUUGCUUUCUUGGUAUUCUGCAUAGUUUUUCGAGACCUGGAGCCAUGGGUUUAAGUUAGAAAAAGAAAGAAACAAAAACCAAUUCAAUGGAAAGAGAAGAGAGUUUCUUAUAAUUUGGUUGUGGGAAGAUCAGAAGUAACAACUGUACCAAUAGUAUCCUGUAUCUUUGCCUUUAUGCAUCCUCUGUCUCUUCUCUUCCCUUCAGUAAUUUAAACUGAGGAGGUCCUGAGAUUGCAGUUAAUAUUUUUCUUGCCUGUGAGAGCUAGAUGAACCUUUGGAGGGUAAACACCUAUAUUACAAAGAGAUGGUCUGUGGCUGUGUCUAAAUUUCAUUCUGCUUAUCUGUAAAGCAUGCAGUUUGGGUCAUAUAAUAUCUAAGGUCAUCCGAGAUCACAUAGUUUUUAUUUUUAACUAUGGUUUCCCAUAAUUCCUGACUCAGAAUGGGAAUGAUGCAAGUAUUUUUAUUUUCUGUGGAAGUAUGUGUGUAUAGUUCAUGUCUGUGAGAGUCUGUGCUUGAUCCUUCUGUCUACUUUGGCAGAGAUUCAAGAUAAUAAAUGCUAGGGAAUAAAGAUGCUGUGCUUUUUUAUUCUGAAUUUUAAUUUACUCAGUUAUUUAAAGAAUAGAUGGUCUGGUUGCCUGUUGCUAUACAGCAAAGUGUCCUAAAUUUUUUGUGGCUCAAUUCAGCCACAACUUAUUUUCCUAUUGGUUCCACCAUCUGCAUAGAGCUCACUAUUUCCUGAUAUCAAGCACUCAACCUGGACUUUGAGGCUGGAGAUUACUCAAUGCUGGGGCUAGACUCAUCUUGUAAGUACACUUAUUUAUGUGUAAGUGGUUGCUGCUACAUGUUGGCUGGGAUUUACCUGCCCAAAAUACCUGCACAUGACACAUCACUAGGAGAUAAUUUGGAAUUACUCUCAGUGUGAUAGCUUCAGAAUACAUGUUCCACUUAAGGUAGAAGGACAUAGCAUCAUAAUGACCUACACUUGGAAGAUCAGCAGCAUCAUUUCUGCUGUGUUGAAGGCACAGACCAAGAGCUAUUUCAGUUCAUGGAGAAAGCACAUACUUAUCCAUGGAGUAACUGUAUUCUUUCAAGAAUAGAUUGGAAUAGGCAGCCAUGAUGUCUUAAAUGGUGGUCCCAAAAGUUAUGUUCUAGGCUUACUUCCUGGUAACUGUGAGUGUUACCUAAUUUGGCAAAGGAUAUUAAUUUGCCUAUAUUAAGGAUCUUGAGAUGAGGGUGCACAUUUUUCUUAAUUUUGGGGGGCAGGGGUCCCAAUUCAAUGACUAGAAUUCUAUUGACAGUGAGGCAAGUGGAAGUAGAAAAAUAGACACGUGUAACCACAGAAUCUGAGAGAAUGGGUUGACAAGUUGAGGGAUUGUAAUAGCUGCCAGAAAGUGGUAGGGUGUGUGUGUGUGUGUGUGUGUGUGUGUGUGUGUGUGUGUGUGUGUGUGUGUGUGUGUGUGCGCGCGCGCGCGCGCAUGUGCAUGUGCAUGUAAUAGACAAUGAGGGUUAAAAACUAGUUGACUAAUUGGAAUGGAUUUAUGUGGGGACAAAAAUCAAGCUACAAAGGCACACUGGGACAUUUCUAAAUGGGCUUUAAGGUAGAAAUAGAAAUACUUGUCUCCAGGUACUCUCUCUUCACAUUCAUUAUUUUGGUCUGAACUAGACCAAAAUGGUCCUAAUGUUCUCAGUCACAGGAGCUAAUAAAAGUUGUCUAACUUGGUUAACUUCUUUUCUGCUCUAAAUUGUUAACGAUUCAGUAUUUCAUGGCUGUGUCAGGUGCUCUCAGAGGCACCUUCCUUAAAGGUCAGUCACUCUCCAGAAAUGCUCAGCAUCCAGUAUUAAAAUUAAAGAUCCUGCUCUGUGACCUUGAGAGGAUACUUAUUUAUUUGCUACACAGCUCAAAAGGCUGGGGUAUACACGGAGAGACCAGAAAAAAUAGAGUGCUGAAGGGGUAUGAGCUGGAGGAUGAAGACUCUGCAGGUUGCUACUAACAAGGGUUCAGAAUUCCUUGUCUGCCCAAACAAUUAACAGUGUCAUGUGUUCUGUCUUACUUCAUCCUCUUAGUAGGCAUAGGAAACAACCAUUAUCAUCAGUACAUCUCAGAUGCAGAACCAGGCUUAGAGAAGUGAGGCAAUUACCUGUCUAGAAGCAUUUUCAGAGCCUGCACAAUAUUGCAUGAAGGGCACAUUACUAUUCUGUGCCACCCUGGUACUCAAUGAAUGAUUUAUGCAUUUUAUUCAUUUAUUAUGAUGUUAUGAUGUCUGACAAUAAGUUCACAAUAAAUGUUGACAUGAGAGCCCUUUUGUCACCUGCUUGGGUUGCUGGGAUAACACGUACAAGGCUAAAACACACAUUCCACCAGGGAGAGAGGUAGGUGCGUGACACUUUUCUCCUUAUGAUGUUGUUAAAGAGGGAUUGCUUUCUGACAUUCAUAGGCACAAAAAAUAGAAUGAUUUUUGUGAGUAAGUCUAAGGCAAAUUGGUAAGAGAAAUAAGUGUAGACAGCAAAGCAGUAGUCAUUUGAAACUAAUUGGCCUCUAAUUACUAAGAUUCAUGGGAGGUUGACGGGACUUGUUGGUUUUUAUCUCCCACUACAAUCUGGAAAGUAAAUGAGUCAUGUAUUGAAGAAUAAAGAAAAAAAAAAAACAGUGGUCUUUUCCUCUUACAACAUGUGGUUUCCAGGUUAGGUUUCUAGCUUUGCUCCACUCCAGUCAAGGAACAUGUUUCCCCAUUAAUUAGGAAUGCUGCAACUCCAAAUGCAUCCAGUUUAUUUUCUUAUCUUUUUUCUUUAUAGACAGGGCUAUGUCUGUGUUUACAUACCACAGAAUUAUUCUGAGCAGGACUGAGAACAGUUCAAAUAAGGAAUCCUCUAGAACUUGUAUUAAAACCAUAUUUUAACUCUGGUUAUGAUUUUACCCUCUGUAGGUAGUUGGUAACUGAUAUCUGAUUUGAGGGAUAUUUUUUAUGGUAAAAGUAUGAGACACAUAAUCUAUAACCAAGGCUAUUUUAUACUCAGAAAAAAAAUGGUAUUAGGAUUGAUGUAGAAGGUUUUCUCACACAACACUUGUAAAGGAGAAAGAAAGACAACCACAGGCUUCAAACUCAGGUGGCAAGGGCUUUCCUCUGAGACACUUAACUAGGAUGGCGGUGACAAACUGAAGGGAGAGAGAUCCAGGUAGCUGGUGUCCCUAUCCUAGACUUUGCAAUGUUUCCAAUAGUGGAAUAGAGGAUGAAGGUUCCUGUGCCUAACCAGGCACACCGGAGCCCACCGUUGCAUUGCUGGCUGAGGCAGAGUGUAUCUUGGACUAUGGAUGCUCUGUUCUUUGCCCUUCUUCUGUCCCUCUACUAUUUACACUGUGACCAUGGUAACCCGGACUUUGUUUAUCACAUAUAAUUAAUUCACAGGAACUUCUAUAAGCUGUGCCUUGUGCAACUUCUCUCUUUUUUGUUAGUUUUUUAUAUACUUUGCUUUUGUUUGUUAGUUUGUUAGUUCUCAUCUGUCAAUGAGGUUGUCUAAAGACGAAUCUCCCAGCCAUUUUCUGAAAACACCAGAAUGAACUUGACCAGAGUCCAUCAUCCUGGCCAGUAUUGAAUUACAGCUUGCUUCAACCUUCACUGAAAAAAACAAAAAGAUUAAUCUCCAACAUAAGGGAGUUGUUAAGAUUUUUAAUAUCCUAUGCCAUAGAUAUGAUACCCAUAUGUUUCAAAAAUGAAAACCAGUUGAAAGGCUUUCAUAUUUAUCCUAGUCAGUUUUCUACAUUGAUGAAAGUCUGAGGAGCAGGCAAGAAGAUAGGCUUACACCUGCUACAGUGUAUACCCGGAAGGUCAGAGGACAACUUAUGGAAAUCAUUUAUUUUUUCAACCAUGUCUAACCUGGGGCUUGAACUCAUACCAUCAGCCUUGUCGGUAGGUGCCUUUACCAUCUGGGUCAUCUUGCCAUCCCAUGUUUGGUUCAUUUUAAACUCAUCUCCAUCUAAUGUAAAAAGCCAUGAAUGGGAAGUAGGGCGUGAAGUCCCUCUUGCACUCCCUUCAGAUCUUCAGCGUCGAGGGCAUAGAUUCGUCUGCCCUUGUGUUUCCAUUUGAACUGCCCUAAUGAGGAUAACAUUUCAGAAAAUGGGAAGUGUAGUAAUUUGCAUCUUCUUUUAUGCCAUCCCCAAGAGAUGCAGUCCUGAUUCUUGAUCACAAGCAAUAUUUGAUCUUUAAAUUCCCAGCUAAGAGUCACUCAUAAUUCUUCUGCCCAGACAUUAGAGCAGGCUUCAUUUGUGUUGGUGUUAGCAUGCAUGUCUUUUAGACAAUUUACAGAAGACUGCAAUUUCCUCUAAGAGGCAUUUGUAAGGGAGGACACUUACCAAUCCAAUUACAUUUUCAACUUCCCAUUUCUUUUUCUGUAACCUCCAAUAAUUUUGCUGGGCUUUAAAGAAAAACAUGAUCUUAUGCUAUUUUUAUAUCUUCUCCAGUCAAUGCUAAUUUCAAUUUUAAUGGUCUCUCUUUGGUAUCGCCUCUUCUAUUGAUUUGGUGAGAGUUACCUUUAAUCACUUAAGAAUAAGUAGUGCAUUAAGACUGCCCAAGGCUAGCCUAUAUUUGUGGGGGGAAAUCACUCCAUUUAAGAAUUCAUUUAACAAGAGUCUAUUCCACAUUUUACUUUGGAACUCCACCAGGGUACCUUCCAUCUGUAUGGAAGCAUUUAUUAUCCAGAAGAAAUUCAGCCUAACUUUAGAGACUACCACAGUGAACAAAACCUCCUGAAGUUUCCAGAAGUCUCAAUGAUUCUGACUGUAAUAAUCAUGUUUAACAUGUUCAGAGUUUUAGUGCUGAAAGAAAAAUGGGUGGAUAGUAGUUAUCAUUAAAAUACCUCCACUGACUUGCAGAUAUUAUAAAGCCACUUAGACCAUAAAACAAACCACAUAAAAGAGAUUGUGGCAAACUUAUGCCAAGAGAGCAUCAUGGUUUGGUUGAUGUAUUUAGUUGUAUUUGAUUGAUUGAUUGAUUGAUUAAGUGCAUGUGUGUGUGUGUGUGUGUGUGUGUGUGUGUGUGUGUGUGUGUGUGUGUUGUAUGUACAUGUGUGUACACAUGGAGACUAGAGGUUAAUGUAGGGAGGUUUCUUUGAUUUCUCUUUGAUGUCACUCAUGAGACAAAGGUUCUCACUGAACUUCAAGCGCAGCAAUUAACUAGUCUCACUAGUCAGUAAGCUGCCAGAUUCACCUCUCUGCACCGAGCCCUGGGAUUACAGGGGUGUGUUCUUUUGAUCUGAGCACUGGUUGCACAGCAAGUGCUUUACCUACCACACUUUCUGCCUAGAACCUGGACAAAUUUUACGUUUGUGUUCACAUCAACCAGUGAUCAGUACAGAGAUCUGGGAAUGGAAACACUUAUCAGACCGUGUUGCACGAGGGAUGAAAAGAAGCAAAGACCCUCAUACACCAUUUUAACCAUGGGAUGCUGACAAGGAGAGGAGAAAAAAUGAAAUAAUAGCUAGAGGGUGCUGUGGUAUCAGUAGACACUUAAUCUUUGUUUGUGGUAUGAAGAAACUGAUA